GGGAGCGAGAAUUGGAGCACCACCCAGCACGUGCAGUGGAGUCCCACGAGUCCAGUGAUCUACUACGAGAAGAACAUAUCCUUGUCGGCCACUGGUCCAAGGAGAGUGAAACAUAUGUGAAGCUGACUUGCAUCCAACCUACAAUCUGGAGUAGUCACCAAGGUGAAGAGACAGUGAGAAGGUGGCAUCAAUGAACCAGGAAGUGGGCCCUCAGCAGACACUGAGCCAGCUGGUGCCUUGAUCUUGGACUUCCCAGCCUCCAGAACUGUGAGAAUUAAAUAUCUUUUGUUUGUAAGCUCCCCAGCCAAUAGCACUUUGUUAUAGCAGUGCAAAUGGACUAAGACACUCAUGCAUCAGUAUUUCUUAAAAAUGCUCUCCAAAUGAUUCUAAUGUAUAGCCAGGGUUGAUAACUGCCAAUCUGAAAAUU